rnacentral:rRNA from 1 species
AUGGCCGAUACUACUAGAAGAAUUCCUCUUUGGCUGAUAGGCACUGUAGCUGGUAUUGCUGUGAUUGGUUUAGUAGGUGUUUUCUUUUAUGGUUCAUAUUUCAGAAUCCUCUAUUUUAGUUCUUCCACCCAUGCAAUAGAGAGGGAAUGGGAAAAGAAGGGUUACUUUUAUUUUCAUUUUUCCGUUAAAAGAUAG